GAUGAACGCUGGCGGCGUGCCUAAUACAUGCAAGUCGAGCGAACGGACGAGAAGCUUGCUUCUCUGAUGUUAGCGGCGGACGGGUGAGUAACACGUGGAUAACCUACCUAUAAGACUGGGAUAACUUCGGGAAACCGGAGCUAAUACCGGAUAAUAUUUUGAACCGCAUGGUUCAAAAGUGAAAGACGGUCUUGCUGUCACUUAUGGAUGGAUCCGCGCUGCAUUAGCUAGUUGGUAAGGUAACGGCUUACCAAGGCAACGAUGCAUAGCCGACCUGAGAGGGUGAUCGGCCACACUGGAACUGAGGCACGGUCCAGACUCCUACGGGAGGCAGCAGUAGGGAAUCUUCCGCAAUGGGCGAAAGCCUGACGGAGCAACGCCGCGUGAGUGAUGAAGGUCUUCGGAUCGUAAAACUCUGUUAUUAGGGAAGAACAUAUGUGUAAGUAACUGUGCACAUCUUGACGGUACCUAAUCAGAAAGCCACGGCUAACUACGUG
rnacentral:rRNA from 1 species